rnacentral:rRNA from 1 species
AUGAGCCAAGUGGUUACCGGAAUGAGAGGCACGCCUGGAUAUUUAGCUCCUGAAUGGUUGACAUCACAGAUCACAGAAAAGGCGGAUAUCUACAGCUUCGGCGUCGUGGUCAUGGAAAUCAUCAGUGGAAGAAAGAACCUCGACACUUCCCGGUCAGAAGAGAGCAUCCAUCUCAUCAGCCUAUUGGAGGAAAAGGUAAAGAAUGAUCAGUUGGUAGAUUUGAUUGACAAUAACAGCAACGACAUGCAAGCACACAAGCAAGAUAUUCAGAUGAUGAUGCUUGCAAUGUGGUGCUUGCAGAUUGAUUGCAAAAAAAGGCCUAAAAUGUCUGAGGUGGUAAAAGUAUUGGAAGGUGUCAUGACUGCAGACCUCAACAUAGAGCAUAACUUUGUUGUAACAACUCCAGCAAAUUUUGGUAGAACAGGAAAUGUGAGCUCUUCAGCGCCACCUCUAGCCUCAGAUGUAUCAGGCCCCAGGUGA